rnacentral:rRNA from 1 species
UGGGGAAUAUUGGACAAUGGGCGCAAGCCUGAUCCAGCCAUGCCGCGUGAGUGAUGAAGGCCCUAGGGUUGUAAAGCUCUUUUGUGCGGGAAGAUAAUGACGGUACCGCAAGAAUAAGCCCCGGCUAACUUCGUGCCAGCAGCCGCGGUAAUACGAAGGGGGCUAGCGUUGCUCGGAAUCACUGGGCGUAAAGGGUGCGUAGGUGGGCAGGUAAGUCAGUGGUGAAAUCUCCGGGCUUAACCCGGAAACUGCCGUUGAUACUAUUUGUCUUGAAUAUUGUGGAGGUAAGCGGAAUAUGUCAUGUAGCGGUGAAAUGCUUAGAUAUGACAUAGAACACCAAUUGCGAAGGCAGCUUACUACACAAUCAUUGACGCUGAGGCACGAAAGCGUGGGGAUCAAACA